rnacentral:rRNA from 1 species
ACCAGACUCCUACGGGAGGCAGCAGUGGGGGAUAUUGCACAAUGGGGGAAACCCUGAUGCAGCGACGCCGCGUGGGUGAAGAAGUAUUUCGGUAUGUAAAGCCCUAUCAGCAGGGAAGAAAGAAGACGGUACCUGACUAAGAAGCCCCGGCUAACUACGUGCCAGCAGCCGCGGUAAUACGUAGGGGGCGAGCGUUAUCCGGAUUCACUGGGUGUAAAGGGAGCGUAGACGGCCGUGCAAGCCAGGAGUGAAAGCCCGGGGCCCAACCCCGGGACUGCUCUUGGAACUGUGCGGCUGGAGUGCGGGAGGGGCAGGCGGAAUUCCUGGUGUAGCGGUGAAAUGCGUAGAUAUCAGGAGGAACACCGGCGGCGAAGGCGGCCUGCUGGACCGCGACUGACGUUGAGGCUCGAAAGCGUGGGGAGCGAACGGGAUUAGAUACCCCGGUAA